CCUACGGGUGGCAGCAGUGAGGAAUAUUGGUCAAUGGCCGCGAGGCUGAACCAGCCAAGUCGCGUGAGGGAAGACUGCCCUACGGGUUGUAAACCUCUUUUGUCGAGGAGCAAAGAGAGUCACGUGUGACUUUUUGAGAGUACCCUAAGAAAAAGCAUCGGCUAACUCCGUGCCAGCAGCCGCGGUAAUACGGAGGAUGCGAGCGUUAUCCGGAUUUAUUGGGUUUAAAGGGAGCGCAGGCGGGGGUGAAAGUCAGCGGUAAAAUUGCGGGGCUCAACCCCGUACUGCCGUUGAAACUGGAUGCCUUGAGUGCGCGAGAAGUAGGCGGAAUGCGUGGUGUAGCGGUGAAAUGCAUAGAUAUCACGAAGAACUCCGAUUGCGAAGGCAGCAUACCGGCGCGCAACUGACGCUGAUGCACGAAAGUGUGGGUAUCGAACAGGAUUAGAUACCCUUGUAGUC
rnacentral:rRNA from 1 species